UAAUCGCCUUGAAUGAAAUUAUGAUGGUGGUAUUAUAGAAUCUGAUGGAGGUUUAACAAUUUUUUGUCAUCCCGGAAGAGCUUUAAGAGGUGGCAAACCACACAAACUUGAUUCAAAUGAACUGGAGCAAGCACAUAUUUAUAUUUUGAAGAAUUGUGAUGAAAUUCAACCAUUUCUCGAAGAGUUUUCACUAACUCCAGUUGAUACCUCUCAAGAAAAUUCUUAUAGGCAAUUCAUUGGUUGGUUAAAAGAAAAGGUUGCAGGAUUACACAAAUGCAAUGACAGUAAAAAAAUGG